UGGUCAUUACCAAGGCUUUUAGAAUGCAGUUUCUCAUUUGCUGUGGACAUGACCAUAAAGAAAAAUUCCCAUUAGGUUUUCCAUAUGCUACUUGACUAGCAGUUAACAUGUUGGGAACAUUU
ensembl:snoRNA LOC120100383 small nucleolar RNA SNORA32